rnacentral:rRNA from 1 species
AUUGAACGCUGGCGGCAUGCUUUACACAUGCAAGUCGAACGGCAGCGCGGGCUUCGGCCUGGCGGCGAGUGGCGAACGGGUGAGUAAUGCAUCGGAACGUGCCCAGCAGGGGGGGAUAGCCCGGCGAAAGCCGGAUUAAUAUCGCAUACGACCCGAGGGCGAAAGCGGGGGACCGAAAGGCCUCGCGCUAUGGGAGCGGCCGAAGUCGGGUUAGCUGGUUGGUGGGGUAAAGGGUUACCAAGGCGACGAUCCGCAGCUGGUCUGAGAGGACGACCAGCCACACUGGCACUGAGACACGGCCCAGACUCCUACGGGAGGCAGCAGUGGGGACUUUUGGACGAUGGGGCCAACCCUGAUCCAGCCAUGCCGCGUGCGGGAAGAAGGCCUUCGGGUUGUAGACCGCUUUUGUUCGGGAGUAAGUCCUCUGCGCUAAUACCCCGGGAGAAUGACGGUACCGGACGAAUAAGCACCGGCUAACUACGUG